GUUCCUCUCUGUAGUGAGUGUAAAGUCUCUCCGCUCCGCAAGCUCUCUCGUUUCGUUGGUUGGUGGUGGACCAGUUUUGGAUGAUAUGCUUUUAUCAAUCAAUGAUGAUGAUGGCUUUGAUGGAAACUCUUUUUCUCUGUGACACGUCUUCAGGGGUUUUGUUCCUCUGACUCUCUAGUACAGCAUCUUCACUCGUUCGUUUCGUUUCAUUGGUGGUUUUGAUGAUGAUGAUGAUGGCUUUGAUGGACACGAACUAGUCUCUGGUUUUGGAUUAUUUCAGGUCUUGGUCGAUGCUUUGAUAGAUCAGUGACGGCUUUGAUGGACUCCUUCUUCUGUGUGCUACGUCUGAAUGGGUUUUGUUAUUCCUCUUAAGUCUUAAUACAUCUUCUACUUUUUUUCUAUAUAUAAGUGAAUUUAACAUCUCAGUCUCUCUUUUGUUGCAGAUCGUGUGAUGGCUUUGACUGAUCCUUGUCACUCUCAUUCAAUUUUGCUCUUCCGGGUAUUGGAUGAUGCUUUGAUCGAUCAGUGAUGGCUUUGAUGGACUCCUUCUUCCCUGUUCUAAAGACAUCAUUGAUUUUGGAGGCACCUGGAUUACUGACUGUGUGGGAGGUUCAAAUAGAAAACAUUGUGGGAGUUUAACUUUCAGAUGUUCUUGCUGUGUACACACACAUUCAGAUGAGAGAUGCUCCACAAAUUAUUUCCUGAACGAGAGGAGAGUUUGUUCUUAAGCUUUGUCCUAUGUAACUUGUUUUUUGUUGGUACGCAUAGAACUGAAAAUAUAUAUAUAUAUCUCUCACUUUGAUGCAGAUCGUGGAUAUCUUCUCGUCUAUCAUCUGUUUAGAGAUGGACUUGAUGGACCUAAGCAAGCUUUGUUGGAGAGAUUUGUUCACUGGUAUCCGGAGACCAGCGAGAGGUAUGCUUGAUUGUCUCACGAGAGACCACCAGCAGGUUUGUUAGCUUCUCAUCAAUUUCCAAUACAUCGGUCUUUUUGUCUUGGCCGGAGGAGAAGCAAAUCGGAGACGGAGACUGAGAGAAUCCAUGCUUGAAUGUUUCUAUCCUAGAGGAAGUAAAGACGUGCGAGUCCAUGGAGAAGCCUUAAAAUCUCUCUCGCCGGAUCCUAAUUCUCGAACAUGGCGUGUCUCUUGUUCAGCCACCCUCUACUUUGCCGGCGCUACAUCUUCCUCUCUCUCUCUCUCUCUUUCGUACACAAGCACAAAGUGUAACCAGGGGCAACAAUCUUCGCUCAUCAAUCCGGUUAGAUGGCUUCAGAUGCAGAGCUCAUCAACCCACCUGUCCAAUAAUGGUGGAGGGAGCAGCAUUGCGCAGCUGCAAGAGUUAAUUCCGGAACAGCAGGUACUUGGUGGAAUGAGAGGGAGGACUGGAUCACUCUAGGAAACCUCAUCGGUUAUUGCUUGAUGCCACAUGCUAUGAUGCUAUGAUGGCUCGUUAUAGGUUAAGAACCCGUGGCCAAGUUUUGAUUCUCACAGUGGGGUCUUGCUGAACCACUAUGGUCUAACAGAAGGACGGAACUAAACCGUUCUCUUUGGUGUUUCAAGGAGUCUUGGCAUUUUCUAGUAUAGACAGUGGACGAGCUGAAGCAGUUAUAGGAAAGAUGGACGUAUCUGUCUUCUUCUAGAACUUGCAAAAUCAUGGCGAGAAGGGAUUCAGUCAGAAGCUGCAAAGGCUAUUGCAAAGUCUGUUGCUGAAGAAGGAAGAAUCAGAAUUCUUGCUGGUUUGGCAAAGUCAAUGAACAGACUUGUGGCUGAGGAAGCUGCUGGUGGACUAUGGAAUCUCUCUCUGUCGGAGAAGAGCAUAAGGUGAAGAAUAACCCGUGGCGAGAUGUUGAUGCUCAGAGUGGGGUCUUGCUAUGGUCUAACAGAAGUAAGGUACCACACCGUGCUAUCUGGUGUUUCAAGGAGUCUUGGCAUCUGCUGUCAGCUUAUAUGAGUUCUCAAUUGUGUCAGGCACAUUCAUCAGUCAAAAGCCUAACUUUCAGGUCUGCUUUCUCCUAUCAAGUAUUAUAACAUGGGAAACGAAAAGAGUCAAAAGCCUACAAAGAACAACUCUGUGUCAGC